UACGGGGGGGAGCAAGCGUUUGUUUCGGAUUUACUGGGGCGUUAAAAGGGGCGGGGUAGGCGGCCACCCGCAAAGUCAGUUUGUGAAAUCUCUGGGGCUUAACCCCAGAAAAGGUCAACUUGAUACUGCGGGGCUAGAGUGCAGGAAGGGGGGCAACUGGGAAUUCUCGGUGUAGCGGUGAAAUGCGCAGAUAUCAGGGAAGAACACCCAAUGGG
rnacentral:rRNA from 1 species